UACGGAGGGUGCAAGCGUUAUCCGGAUUCACUGGGUUUAAAGGGUGCGUAGGUGGGUUGGUAAGUCAGUGGUGAAAUCUCCAGGCUUAACUUGGAAACUGCCAUUGAUACUAUCAAUCUUGAAUACCGUGGAGGUCAGCGGAAUAUGUCAUGUAGCGGUGAAAUGCUUAGAUAUGACAUAGAACACCAAUUGCGAAGGCAGCUGGCUACACGAAUAUUGACACUGAUGCACGAAAGCUAGGGGAGCGAAUGGG
rnacentral:rRNA from 1 species